rnacentral:misc_RNA from 1 species
GAUGAAGAACGCAGCAAAAUGCGAUAAGUAAUGUGAAUUGCAGAAUUCAGUGAAUCAUCGAAUCUUUGAACGCACAUUGCGCCCGCUGGUAUUCCGGCGGGCAUGCCUGUUCGAGCGUCAUUUCAACCCUCAAGCCCCCGGGUUUGGUGUUGGGGAUCGGCUCUGCCCUUCUGGGCGGUGCCGCCCCCGAAAUACAUUGGCGGUCUCGCUGCAGCCUCCAUUGCGUAGUAGCUAACACCUCGCAACUGGAACGCGGCGCGGCCAUGCCGUAAAACCCCAACUUCUGAAUGUUGACCUCGGAUCAGGUAGGAAUGCCCGCUGAACUUAAGCAUAUCAAUAAGCGGAGGA